rnacentral:hammerhead_ribozyme from 1 species
GCACUGCUAAGGAGUCCUAUCAUAGGACGAAACAGCCGUCCAGUGC